GACAGUGCUGAGUGCUUUGUGAUCAACAAAAAGAAGAAGCAGAAAAACAAGAAUGCUGAGCAGAUGCCACCAAAGGCACCAUUUGUGAAAGGUCCAAAAGGGCCUUCCUUGCCUCAAGCUCCCAAAAAGCCUGAACAGAAGGUGAGCAUGCAGGACCACAUGCAUGCCGGCUUGUACUGAUAUGCAUGCAUGUCAGCAUGCACAGACAUAGUACCCUGGUGUUCAUCACCCGAAGAUGAUGGGCCAUUUGAGGGGUGUACCUUAUUUAUUGUGAUGGACGCAGGCCCUUGAUAAGCAUGAACCCCUGCACAACAACUUUGAUUAUCAUCACCCGUACAAUCGCCCCAGGAAGCGGCAUGAUCGAGACGGUGCGAUGCACGCGCACACCGGCCAUGCUUGUGGUACCUGUGCACUGGUUGCAGGCUGGUUCUCAUGGGCUCAGGUGGUAAGCGCAUGUGACGGUGAAAGGGCUCAAGGUGACGAUGCAUGUGGUAAGCGCAGGUGAUGGGGAAAGCGUGCAGAGUGGCAAUUCUAAGGCUUCAGAAUAUGUAUUUGCUGACAAUGUGGCAUGGUGUUCUGAAGAGGAGAUAGAAGCUGCCAUUGUCCAGGCGAGCC
rnacentral:lncRNA from 1 species